UCUUCCCAUCUGGGCAUAGAGCGGUGGUGAAGUAUCAAGGGCAAAAAUUUACUGUGUAGGUGGGGACCAGGGAAGCGCUCACAACUUCUCCCCCCAUCUCUGGGGCUGGAGAAGGAGAGAGAGGCAGCCAGGGUUCCCAUCCCCCAGAUGGGGGUGCAGAAUAGGGCUGCAGUAGGCCUCUGUAGGUCAGAGCAGAGCUCCUCUGAUUGGCUGUUUCAUCAAAAUUCCAGGGUCAGCCAGACUGAGCAAAAACUGACAGGUGAGGAGCCAUGCCACAGACAUUCC